rnacentral:rRNA from 1 species
UAGGGAAUCUUCCACAAUGGACGAAAGUCUGAUGGAGCAACGGCCGCGUGAGUGAUGAAGGGUUUCGGCUCGUAAAACUCUGUUGUUGGAGAAGAACGGGUGUCAGAGUAACUGUUGACAUCGUGACGGUAUCCAACCAGAAAGCCACGGCUAACUACGUGCCAGCAGCCGCGGUAAUACGUAGGUGGCAAGCGUUGUCCGGAUUUAUUGGGCGUAAAGCGAGCGCAGGCGGUUUUUUAGGUCUGAUGUGAAAGCCUUCGGCUUAACCGGAGAAGUGCAUCGGAAACCGGGAGACUUGAGUGCAGAAGAGGACAGUGGAACUCCAUGUGUAGCGGUGAAAUGCGUAGAUAUAUGGAAGAACACCAGUGGCGAAGGCGGCUGUCUGGUCUGCAACUGACGCUGAGGCUCGAAAGCAUGGGUAGCGAACAGGAUUAGAUACCCUGGUAGUCCAUGCCGUAAAACGAUGAGUGCUAAGUGUUGG